AUAGCAACAGUCUGUAGAUUUACCUUUGGAAUGUGGGCGGGCCUUGGUGAUUAGGGACAGAAUAGAAUGCAGAGACUGGGCGAGCAGGAAGCGGGUCAGAGUGCCUGACAGGGGACUUAACAGGAUGAACAGAAAGGAGUGCUGAUAGGCUGAGGACCAUAGUGUCAGGUAAUCAUGGGAACUGAGUGCAGGGCAAGGGAAGCAUACCUAGUCGCAUAGCUGUCAACUUUUCCCUUUUCUUGUGAGGAAUCCUAUUUGGAAUAAGGGAAUUUCCCUUAGAAAAAAGGGAAACGUUGGCAGCUAUGCGCUAGUAGGAGUUCCUAUGGCCUUGUCAUGAACAAAUUUGGUAUAGAUAUAGUAUUUCUUGUGCCACUGAAGGGCUGGAAGCAGGAUAUGUGAACAGCAAGUUGCCUGCUCUACAGAGAUUUGGCCAGCAAUAUGCAGCAAUAGCAGGUAAGGCGAAGGGGGAGUUUUUAAUUAUUAUUAUUAUUAUUAUUUUAUUAAAUUUGUAUAACGCCCUAAAUCCAUAGAUCUCAUAAAUUUACAAUAAGAUAUUAGAUGCAGG